UGCGUUUGCGCUUGCGCUUGCGUCGUAAAAGUCACGAUAAAGAGGGCGAAAAUAACGUCUGCUGUACCUGCAUCACUUUCGUUAUCGAUGACUGCGUUGUGCAGCUUCCAUUAUCAGAUGCUAUCCAGUAUUGCAUUUAUGUUUUUCCGGGGAGGGUUCGGGACCGGCUCUGAUUCUCUUAAACCCUGGCUUACCGGGACCGAGCCUGUCGUGACCGUCGAUGGCGAGGGCGUCGCUCCGAGCGAGCGCACGCGAGGGAGCAUUUUGGGCUGUGAAAUCCCAGAGAUUCCCUAUUCAAUCUUCAAAAGUUUGACAUGUGAUAAAGAAUGCAUAAAAUGACAUCUUUAUCUUGUGGAGUUCCAAGAUUACAGCCCAAUCAUGUGUUUGCUUCAUCUUAUCCCCAUUGGAGUCCUCCACGAAAGCCUCUGCAACACUCAGAAUGACAGAGGAGCUGUUAGGCGCACGUGCCGUGGAUGCCAGGGCACGUGGGUUGCCGAUAGACUUUGAAAGCUAGAGCACUAGGCUUUAUGGCUCCAAUUGGUCCCCCGCUGCCCAAAGGAUUCCAGCUUGUUUGAGCUGGUUAUGAAUUGAAGGUUAGAUUUGAUGUGGCAAAGGGUUGCCAUGGAUGCAACUAUCAGUCUAAUGGAAGAGAAGUUUGCUACAUUCUUAUUGACCCGACUUUUAAAAGCUUAGAUUUAUAGGGAAAAAUGAUAUUCCCUAACUUGAUAUGAUAGUAUAGAUAGUAUAGAUCAUGUGACUUGAGGUUGAACUUCUGCACACUCUCGGUAUUAUUUCGUUUA